AUGGAAUAGUAGAAAAGUAGAUAAACUAGAUUUACUAGCAUAUACAGCUGAAGAAAUAAUUUGUCUAGUUUAUUACUUCAUAAAUAAAUCAUUGAGUUACUCUCUUGCAUUGUUUUACAUCAUGUUAGGAUGAAUUAUAUGAUGUAGAGAUUAUAACUGACAUGGUGGUUACACUUGUGAUGAUAAGAAUGAAGAGGGGAAAUUAUUAAACUGACUCUGGAUGCAUAAAGUGGGGUAAGAUUGAUAGGAUGAUGAAUGAACAGAUCAGAAAAGGUACUUAACACAGACAAUUCUAAUGUAUAAUUGUGGGUGUUUUUUCCAAAAGAGGUAUGAAUAAAAUGGCAUAAAGUAAACCAAUUUGCAAAACUAAAUAGUGAAAAUUACUGGAAGGCAAAACUAUUGAAAAGGACUAGAAACUUAAAAAGCAUUAAAAACUAGCUAAUAUAAAAAUGAGAAAAGUGGUCUUUAAAAAGUUGUGUUAAAUUAUCCUUUAAGGCAGUGGUUCUCAGUCUGUGGUGUGCAGACCCUGGGAGGCUGUGAUGUCAUCAAAGGGGGUCCACAAAGACUUGAAGAAAUGUUAUAGUUUAAAUCUUGAGUUAAGUCUUGGGGUGGGGGGUGUCUGUGGCCAUGGUCCCUGGUUAAAGGUGUUUAAAGGGGAAGGGGAGUCUAUGGAAAGGUUGAGAACAAUUGCUUUAAGACAUAUAUUCUAUAGUUGGCCAAAAUAAUCUAGGAAGUGAAACUUCUGCUUGGGAAAAAUUUAAUUUAAACUUUAGGUUUCCAUGGUCCACCUUUCAUAGCAUUUUGAAAUCAAAGUUUAGCUUUCCUUCUGAAUAGCCACAAAUGAGUCUGCACAUAUCUGAAAUUCCAGAACAGAAUUUGUAAUUUAAAAACAUUAUUUGAAAAAAUUAUCUUACUGCAUUAAUAUUUUUAGACAGAUUACAGUUUUUCAAUUUUUAGCAUUGUGAAAUUCUACUUACAUUUAUUACUCUUAUUGAUGCUUUUUUCUGAAUAACAGUCAAUGUUUAUUUUCUGAACUGAAUUGACAGAAGUCUUAAAUUCAAGGAAUGCUUCAAAGACUGUUAAUACUUGUAUUGGUAAAAUGAACAACUGAUGCUGAAAAGGUGCCAUUUUGUAUUUGCUGUGUGACGUAGCAUAAUAAAUAACAAAUAGUAGGUUAUCCUCAAUUGUCAUUUCAAAAUGACUAGUUAUAGAUAUUUCAGCUUAAGGCAGAAUGAAAGAAAAGACCUACAGAUGGAUCCACCUAGCAUAUUUUUUUAUUUAAUUUUGUCAUAACAGUAUACAUAAACAUUGUCAUAAGUAAAAAAAAUAUCAUGAAUAUAUAUAUAUAUAAGUAAAGAAUAUGCAUUAGUUAUAUUAAUUUGAUAUAAUAAAGGGAACAAUAGGACAGGAACGGUAGGCACUUUUGUGCUCUUAUGCAUGCCCCUUAUAUCUCCUCAGGCAUUAAAUUAGAGGGUCAAAAUGGCACUUGUAUCAUAGACUUCUCAUUUUGACUAAUAUUUUCGAUGAUUUAAUCUAAUAAUUCAUAAUGCAGGAUGAUAAAUUGUAGCCCUUUAUGUAUUCAACUCAUAAUUAUAAUUCAUUUUCACUAUUAACUGAAUCAAAAGCACCUGUAAGUUAAUUUUAUAUUUUCUCAGAAGAUAGUUGCAUUGCAUUCAACUUACUUCUAGGUAAAUAUUUGUGAAACGGUGGCUUCAGUCUCUCCAUGCUGUCCAAAAGGAAGCCUCCUGCCCCUUCCUGUACAGAGAUGAGUAGAAAGGUUGAAAAGAUUCUUAUAUGCAUAUUCCCACUGAAUUUACCUUUCUAUUAUUCAAUCCUGAAGAACAUUUUAUUUCCUAACAUUUUAAUAAUAUUGGAUCAGUCUGUGACUACUAUAAAACUCUAUGCGAUUACAUCGUGGGGUUCAAAAUGGUUGUAGAUGUAGUAGAGAUACCUGAAGGACCCUGUGUUGCUUGUUUCCUUAUCUAAAUACAUGUGACUUUGAGUGAUAAACUCUGGUACAUCUAAAUUAAGUCAUUAAAUAUUUUAUGAAAUGCUAUACUAGUUGGAUCAUUCUUUAUUCCAAAAAUAUAAAACUCCAUUUUCAACAGUGGAAUGUGUAAAUGUCUAUCUCUAAGGAUCUCAACUUUUAGUCUCUUCUUUUAUAUUGCUAUGGAGAACAAAAAACAAUGUGCUAAGCAUGCCUGAUUUUUUUUUUUUUUUGAUUGUUCAAAUAUUGAAAUGUCUAUGCCAGUGGUUAUCAAACAUUUUGGUCUCAGACUCCCUUUACAUUCUUAAAACUGAUUGACUCCAAAUAUUUGGUUUAGGUGCGCUAUAUCUUUCAAUAUUUACUGUACAAUAUUAGAAAUAUUUAUUUGACUUUGCAAACCCCCUGAAAGGAUCUCGGAGAUCUCCAGGUGUCCCCAGACUUCACUUUAAGAACUGCUGUCCUUUGACAUGUACUUUUCCCAGGUCUGUGCUUUUUUUUUUACUUUUAUGUUGCAAUGUAUUCUCAUUACUACUAUUCUAGUUGGUCACCAUCUUCUAAAUCGGGCAGGCAAUUUUUCCAAUGGGCCACCUGAGAAAUUGGGACUUUUGUAGAGGUACAAAUCAAUAGCCUGUGAAGUUGCAUAUGCAUGCAUAUAUGUAAAUUGAAAAAAAUAGAACUGCAGUUGUAUUGAAUGCACAGCAUAUACUUAUUUACCUAUGAUUUUUAAUUUCUGCUUGAUAUCACGCAAUCCAGAGGUAUGCAAAGACUGGAUGUUCCCUGGGCCAUAAAAUGCCUAGGUCUGUUCUAAAUAAUAUUAACUGUCUCAAAAUGUAUUUAGAAAUUGAGAAACAUUGAUAACAAUAAAGAUUCUUAAAAGAGUUAGAUAAUGUUCUAAUACCCCAAAACAAGAUUGGGAUGAAGUGUUGAAAAAGCAAUAGAUCUUUAUGAUGAUGACCAGAUAAAUAAUUAUAAUUGGAUGGUAUCAUUUUAAUAUGUCUGCACAGAAUACAGUACUUUUCAGCUUCCACCAUCUAGGAGAGAAAGACUUAUAUAUUUUGGAUGGAGGGAUGGAUGGAGGGAUAGAUAGAUAGAUAGGUAGAUAGAUAGAUAGAUAGAUAGAUAGGUCCUCUAUACAUAAAUUAAUUUAAAACUAAGGCAUCUAAGGGGAAGGAGAGAACUAGAGCAAAAAUGAAUUGGUUAGAAUAUUUCUGGAUGUAUCUGCCAUAUUAGAAGUAAGGAAAUUUUUCUCCAAAAACAUCUUAACUGUGACUAUAACCAGAAUCCUUAGUCAUUGCAUCUAUAUUAUUGUAUCAAUUCAGUUAAGAUUUAAAAUGAAAAGUAGAAGGAGAAAAUUAUCACCCUCUUGGACCAAUGACUAUGGAGAUUCUCAGUAAUCUAGAUCAUGAUUGUUCCAAAGAUGCUUCUAGAGGUCACUGGACUUUUUGGUUUUUCUUUGAAGACGUUUUGCUUCUCAUCCAAGAAGCUUCUUCAGCUUGGACUGGAUGGUGGAGUAUGGAAGGAUUUAUAUUCCUUGCAGACAGCUGGUGAUUUGCAUUCUUUUAUAGAGAGUUGUUGAGGCUGCUUGGAGGUUUCUCUGUGUCCUCAGGGUCACCUGAAUAGUGCAAAGCGCUUUCUUGGAAAUGCUAAAAGGACUGUGUUGUAGAGCUGUGCUUUCUGUAGGAUGUUUUCUGCCCUGUGUCCUUCAGUAUUGAACACAGGCACAGACUAUCAGUGUUGAGUAUGUUGUCUGCAUCUCGAACUGAAGCGGAAAUGGUUCUUGUAGUCUGCAGUUUUUCUGGAAAUACAUUUAUACUCCCGUACCAUUUGAAGGGCAUCCAUCUCAAAGUACAUAGCUAAACUAUCUUUGGCAUCCUGCAGAAAGCACAGCUCCAUAACACAGUCCUUUCAGCAGUUCCAAGAAGGCUCCACACCCAUUUCCACUACUCAGGUGACCAUGAGUUCACAGACAAACCUCCAAGUGGCCUCAACAACUCUCUAAAAUAAUGCAAAUGCAGAACAAAAACUUAUGACUUGGGGUCUGUGGAGAUUCUUAGUCAUCCAAGUCAUGGUUUUCCCAAAGAUGCUUUUUCAGGAGGCAACUGGACUUUGUUUUUUCUUUGAAGACAUUCUGCUUCUCAUCCAGGAAGCUUCUUCAGCUGUGACUAGAUGGUGAAGGGACACAGGACAGAAAACAUCCUGCAGGCAAAAAGGCGCCAAACCCACCUACAUUAUUCAGGCAGUGGUCAUAUCCAGUCUUGACUAAAAAUGUCAGUUCCAAAACAGAGACCCAUCUAAUCAAGCAUAUAGGCAAUAACAGCCAAUAAAGGUAUAGAUAUGAAAUUAAUACUUGUCGUAUUCAGUUCAUCUGAGCAUUUUGCAUUCAGAGGUAUUGGCUAACCUUACAAAUAGCAUUCCUAAAUAGAGACAAACCUUAUUUGCUUUUGUAAGGAAGGGCAUCCAUGGGGGAAUAUGAGGAAACUGAAUGACAAGGGCCUAAUUAUACAAUUCACAUAGUUGUGUGAUUUGCCUGAUGACAUCACAACAGGACAUUUUGACUUCAUUGCAGGUUACUAUUGACACACACGCUCUCAGUUCAGACACAUUAAUUUUAUUCUUAAUUAUUUUAGUUAAUUUUGCAUUUGAAUGGGAUCAAGCAGGAAGACAUACCCACCAAUGUUUCUGAACAAUUCUUCAAAAUAGGUUACUGCCAUUUAAUAAUUUGCCUAAACUUUAAAUAAUUGAGCCAUGACAAUACAUGACUAUGGAAUUUGAUUAAAGAAUGUGAAAUUGUACUACUUUAUUAAGAUAAUUAUUUAAUUUUUAUAUUUGUGGCUAACUUAGUUUUUUUAUACUUCCUUUUUCAUAACUAAUAUUUUAGGAUCAUUUUUCUUCAGUUAAACUGCAUGUGCUACUAUAGCUACUACAAAUUUAUAACACAGGAAGAAAUGAGUCAUGUAGCAAACGUUUGUAAAAGGUUUAUAGGAUUAUGCCUUUAGACAGGCAAUAUUUCUUUCUAAUAUUUUACAAAAAGUUUAUACCUCAGUUCAGUAUCGGCCAUGAGAAUAUUUGAUAGACUGGCCUGAUUUAUAUGUUAUCUAAUUUGGCUUGUUAGGUGUUGGUUGAGUAUUUUGUCCUAAUCCUAGCCAUUUUAGUUUAGUUAAUAAAGGAUCGCUUAGAAAAUUUGAGCACAGUGUAAGUCUGUUAAUUAAAUGUUGUUGUUGUUGUUGUUGUUGUUUUGAAAAGCGGUAUUUUUGUCUAAAGCAAAAAAAAAUCAUAUAUUAAAUAUAUUUACCAGGACAAGUUCAAAAGAAAUGCAUGUUGCAAAUGUGCAGAAUAAAAACUUAUACCUUGGGCACUAUGGAGAUUCUUAAAAAGUCAUCCACGUCAUGGUUUUCCCAAAGGUGCUUUUUUAGGAGGCAGCUGGACUUUCUUGUUUUUUCUUUGAAGAUGUUUCAGUUCUCAUCCAGGAAGCUUCUUCAACUCUGACUAGAUGGUAAAGGGACAAUGAAAGUACACAGGACAGAAAACAUCCUGCAGCCAAGAAGGCUCCAGACCAGGGGUCCUCAAACUUUUUAAAUAGCAGGCCAAUUCAUGAUCCCUCUGACUGUUGGGAGCUGGACUGGCUCGGUGGGCGUAGCUAGGUGGUCAUGUGACUGGGCGAAUGGCACCAAUUUAGGGGGAGGGCAUGGCUGGGGUAGUUGCGACCAACUGGAUGUGACAGCCUUUUGCCUCCUGGGAAUGGGCGUGCUUUUACCAUCUCUACUUGUGAGGGGAACACGCCCCAGAUGUGGGCCAAGGGCAAAACCUGCAAGGGGACCAAGGAGAUGACCAGCAGUGACCUGCUCUCCAACCGCAAGCCAGAAGAAAUGGGAUAGAGUAGGUAGCAGCUGUCCCAUACCCUCACAUCUUCAUCCAUAGCGGCAGCAGUAGCCAAAGGCAGAGGCACUGGGGAGAGGCAUACGGUCCGGCCUGCUGGAUGCGUCAGGCAGCCACCUGCCCUGUCCAGACCACAUGGGAUGGAGCAGGCGCGUCUGGUGGUCCAACUCAUAUGCCUCUCCCCCUACAUUAUGCCAAUGCCAGUACUGCCAUCACCAUGCCUAAUUGUUGGCGGGCCAGCUGCGGAGUCCCUGGUGCUGGACACCUGCAUGUUGGCGGAUGCCACACAUUUUGCAUUUAAAGGGAGUGACAGGCACCAGCAUAUCACCCCCCUGCCUGGAUUCUCUGCAGCUGCUAUGGUCCACGAGGCUGCACCACCCACAUCACCCCUCCGCCAUCUGGCCCACCUGCCUGCCAACCCGCACUCUUCAGACAUGUGCAACAGGCUUGGACAAGGAAUGUGCGCGCCUGGCAGGCAUGCAUCACUAGGAGAGGAUUUGGCGAGGAAAGCGGGGGCUCAGCAGCAUUGAUCCACUGGCCAGCCAGCACUUCCCAAUUCCCUUUCCAGUAGUGGAGACAGACGUUCUCCUUCGGGGACAGGCAGUCUCGCCCCGGAACUACCGAACGGGAGAAGGACAGGCAGCCAAGCGGUGAGGGGUGGAAAGGCAGCAGGGGCAACUGUUGAAACACCCGCUCCCUAGCUCACUCUUGUCUCACCAGCCCUGCUUCACCAAUAGGCGCCCGCUGGCUUGCAAGAACCUCUUUUGGGCCGGACUGGGAGCUCCUGCAGCCACGGCUGCUUGCCCACUUGGAGCGUGCUGGUUAAUCCCCGCUCAGAGUCUGGGGGCAGAUGGACGGAGGAAGCCUGAGCUAAGAAGCGGAGGUGGAGGAUGCAGUUUUUCCCUUCCAGAGCCUCCGCGCCUCCUGUUUUUGGCUUCCCUGGCCCCCAGAAGCACCCUGCUGACCAAAAACAAGACGCACAGAAGCACUCCAGGGCCUCCCACAUUACGUUUUUGGCUUCCCCGGCCUCCAGAAGCACUCUGCCAGCCAAAAAUGUUGGCCUUCUCUUCCAGUUCCAGCUCACAAAGGUAAGGCCUGCACUCGGCUGAAGGCGGUUGGGCGGGGCAGCCUCAUGGUCCCAUGCAGGCUGAAUUAAUUGCUUUGGCAGGCCGCAAUUUGAAAGUCCCUGCUCUAAACCCACUUGCACUAUUCAGGUGAUCUUGUGAUCUAAACCACAGCUAAACCACUAGAUGGCCUAAAAGAAUGAAGAUGACCAGCUGUCUGCAAGAAAUAUAAAUCCUUCCAUUCCCCAUCAUCCAAUUAAAGCUGAAGCAGCUUCUUGGAUGAGAAGUGAAAUGUCUUCAGAGAAAAAACAAAUCCAGUUGCCUCCUGAAAAAGCACUUUUAGGACAAUUAUGGUUUAUGGGGCAGGGAAUAUGGAUUCUAUAGAAAUGUAUGGUUAUAACAAUUUAAUGAGACUUUCACGAUCAAUAUUUUGCCACCAUAUUGUCACUUAAGUCUUUCUGAAUUUUGAUUUUUACAAUCAGCCAUAUUUGUUUUUAUUUGUUCUUGGAAAAAUGUAGUAUAAAAUACAUGCAAUUUAUAUCUUACAGAUUAUUGUGAACUCUUUAUAUCCACUGUGUAAUAUUUAUAAGCAUUUGAUUUUUAUUAAAUGUGAAGUAUUCUUCAUAUAAGCCUCCAUGAGGAGUUUGAAAUGUAUAAUCCAGCUAUGAGUUUCUUGUCUUCAUCUGUUCAUCUCAGAAAUACGGAGUGGCUCUGGAUUUGAAGCCCUGGUGAUUCCACUGAGUUAUCAUUUUUCCUCCAAAUUAGGUAGCCCAGGAACCAUUGGGUCAGUGUUUCAGAUAUAUUUUCUUAAAUCAACAAGCAGUAUGAACCUUGAUGGGCAAAAAAGCAAUAAGACUGAAUUCCUAUUUCCUGCAGGCUUCUCCCUUGACUUUGCUUGGGGGAAGCUGGUUAGGAGCAUUGGAAAUCAUGAUCACCUAGCUGCAGCAGCACUGCAGGGUCAUGUGGUCGCGCUACAGCAGCUACAACUUUGCUAAUACAUCUGGUGUUAAGAUCCUUUUCUUCAAAUUUCAGUCCCAUGGGGAUAAUGGGCCCUGGAUUUUUGGAUGCUUUUUAAAAGUUAGCCCACUUGAGAUAAUUUGAUUCAAACAUUAUUGCUCUAUAAUGCAUUAUUUUGCCCAGUUGAAGUUACAAAAGGCAGGGUUUUAGCUGUAUAUAAAUAGAAUUACAGUUGCUCAAAUAUCUGGUUUACUUGGUUUGACAACUCAUGCUCAAGAUGGAAGCUGUUACCACCAUUUUCAAGAAUCCCCACUCAUAAUCACUGUCUUAUUACAUCGAAGACAUCUCUCUUAGUUGUACUACUGCAGUGUACUACAUGUGGGACAGCUUUUGAAAAGCAUUUGGAAGUUACAACUGAUCCAGAAUAUAGCUCUGGACCAGUUGUAAUGAAUGAAUGCAUACUUCUUGAGGCACCUAUGUAAUACUUAUAAUUCAAGAGCUGCGUUAGUUUCUAGCUGGCUGUCUCCUUUAAAUUCCUUUAUGAUUUAGGACCUGGAUAUUUUUUUUUAAUUUGCAUUUAUAUCCCGCCCUUCUCCGAAGACUCAGGGCGGCUUACACUAUGUUAGCAAUAGUCUUCAUUUUAUUUGUAUAUUUAUAUACAAAGUCAACUUAUUGCCCCCAACAAUUUGGGUCCUCAUUUUACCUACCUUAUAAAGGAUGGAAGGCUGAGUCAACCUUGGGCCUGAUGGGACUAGAAUCUGCAGUAAUUGCAGGCAGCUGCUGUUAAUAGACUGCAUUAGCAGUCUGAGCCACUCAAGGAACCUGUAGGAUUGCAUUCUCUUGAUUACAUCUGCUGUCCAAUAAGAUAAGUCAGGUAUUCCCAUAAUUAGAAAUUGCCUCCCUUAGAAGCAGAACAAAUAUACAAAUAUAUUCAGUAACCUCUCCCCACCUCUGGAAUAGUAUCCCUUCAGAUAAAAUACCAUCUAUUAAUUUUCAGAGUUAGUUGCUGGCUAUUCUAACCAGACUAGGUUUGGCUAUCCUUCCAAACAAAUAAUUUUCACUAUAUUUAAAAUAUACAUCCUAUUUUAAAUGAUUAUAAUUUUAUGGUUUUCAUGUUAAAUUUUUAUUGUGGUUUUAUCCCAAAUUAUGGUUUUGUGAAGACUAUUGAUUUAUUAAUUGAAAGGGAUUAUAAAUAAAAAUAAGAACUAGAACUGAAAAUGCUAUGGUGUGUGGUCUUUAAUGCUGAAAUAGGCUGCUUUUGCUAAUAGGAUAAACGUAAAAGAAGGAUGAUAAAGAGUCAAGAAAUUCCUCAGCAUGGAUAUAAUAGUGAUGGUUGUAAUCAUUUCUUUCAUAAUGUGUCUUAUCUGAAUAAGCUGACAUCAAUUUUUUUUUUGCUGGAAAAUGUUAACUGUAAAAUAUCGGAUAUGCUGUUUUAAAUAGUGUGUAUAACAGAUUUGCACUCCUGUCAGUUAAUUCUAUAGAAUUUUUGAUGUCACAGAGACCUGUCUUACAGAGAAGAGAACAAAGUGGCCUGGGAAGAAGUGAAAAUGAAAUGAAAAUAGGAUUUUGAGAGAAUAUUGAGCUGCCAUCAAUAUUGGUUUAAACGGAACCGGGCCGAGCACGUCAACUGUCUCCCUCUAGGCCUGAGGAGAUGCUCCUAGUUUCCAGAGGGCUGAGGCGUGUAUUCUCUCCCAUAUCUUCCUCCAGGCGGCAGUGAUGCAGUCGUCCAUCCUUCACUCGUUUCCCAGCGUGUGAAGGGGUGGGGGUGGGUGCUUCAGCGCCACCGAACAACUACAGUGCUUCGGGAAAGAUUAGAGCGACUUCGGCCCGGCGAGUGUCAAAAUCGCCGCUCUUUCGUGCCUGCUUCUCGCGCCCGCGCCGCGCGCUCUUUUUAGCAACGCCGUGGCCGCGCUUUUGCGCGAUGCAGUGUGGGAAUGGCUGUGGCGCUGGGGUUGGCUGAAAGAGGCGGCCAGUCGAGGUUUAAUGUCCGCCAUGUUGGCCGUGGCGUACUGAGCAGACCAGGAUCGGCGAGGAGAGAAACCGGCACCCUAGUCUGGCCGCGCCACUCGGCGCCGCUGGGACCCGCCUCGGAGCGAGCCCCGCCCCGCUGCGGGAGCCCCGGUCCCUCCAUGAGAGCUCUCGGUGGGGUCCGGCUCUCAGCUCGGAGCGCUCUCGCUUCCUCCCCCCCCUUUGCCGGAGCAGCAGCAGCCGCCAUAGCAGUUGCAGGCGCAGACGACUAACAUGAGCAAACUGUCGUUCCGGGCCCGGGCGCUGGACGCGUCUAAGCCGCUUCCCGUCUUCCGCUGCGAGGACUUGCCCGACCUGGCCGAGUAUGCCUCGAUCAACCGGGCCGUGCCGCAGAUGCCCACGGGCAUGGAGAAGGAAGAGGAGUCGGAACAUCAUCUCCAGCGGGCCAUUUCAGCACAGCAAGUAUAUGGAGAGAAACGGGAUAAUAUGGUUAUACCAGUCCCAGAAGCAGAAAGUAAUAUUGCCUAUUAUGAAUCAAUAUACCCUGGAGAAUUUAAAAUGCCAAAGCAGCUUAUUCACAUACAGCCUUUUAGUUUGGAUGCUGAGCAACCGGAUUAUGAUUUGGAUUCAGAAGAUGAGGCCUUUGUGAAUAAGCUGAAGAAAAAAAUAGAUAUUUCACUUUUGCAAUUUGAAGAAAUGAUAGAUCGACUUGAAAAAGGAAGUGGUCAGCAGCCAGUCAGCCUGCAGGAAGCCAAACUACUCUUGAAGGAAGAUGAUGAACUGAUUAGAGAAGUAUAUGAAUAUUGGAUUAAAAAGAGAAAAAAUUGCCGAGGCCCCUCUCUUAUCUCAGCAGUGAAACAGGAGAAACGUGAUGGGUCCAGCACAAAUGAUCCCUAUGUUGCAUUCAGAAGGCGAACUGAAAAGAUGCAGACUCGAAAAAAUCGAAAGAAUGAUGAAACUUCUUAUGAAAAAAUGCUUAAACUGAGGCGGGAUUUGAGUCGUGCAGUAACAAUUCUAGAGAUGAUAAAGAGAAGGGAAAAAAGCAAGAGAGAGUUGCUGCAUUUAACAUUGGAAAUUAUGGAAAAGAGAUAUAAGUUGGGUGAUUAUAAUGGAGAUAUCAUGUCUGAAGUAAUGGUACAUCGACAGCCGAUGAAGCCUACUUAUACUAUUCCUAUUGGAAUAGUUCCUAAUAGCACUCAAUUUAAACACCAGGAAAAUAUGGAAUUGAAGGAAUUUAAAAUAAACAAGCAAGAGAAAGCCGAUGCUAUACGGCCGAAGAGAAAAUAUGAGAAAAAGCCCAAAACUGUACCUUCACCGGCUGCUAUUGCUUCUCAGCAGACAGUUCCUGCUUCACUGCCAAUCUUUAAUGCUAAAGAUAUGAAUCAGUACGACUUUCCCAGCUCUGAUGAAGAUCCUCUUUCUCAAGUCUUUUCUGGCUCUUCUGAAGCUGAGGAAGAAAAUGAUCCUGAUGGGCCAUUUGCUUUCCGUAGGAAAACAGGCUGUCAGUAUUACGCUCCUCAUUUAGACCAAACUGGUGACUGGCCUUGGAAUACUCCUAAAGAGGGAACUUUAGGAAAUAAACGUUAUAGAUACUGCUUGACCACCCUUAGUAGGCCGCAAAAGUGCAUUGGGUUUUCACGUAGACGGGUUGGACGUGGUGGAAGGGUGCUUUUGGACCGAGCAUAUUCAGAGAACAACAGUGCAUUUUGCCAGCUGGAUUCAGAAACACCUUCCUCACAACCACAUUCUUCAGUCAAUCAAAUUGCCAAUACCUCAGAAACAAAUACCUCGGACAAAUGUUUAUCUAAAGACCUCAGUCAGAUACUAGUCGAUAUCAAAUCACGUAGAUGGCGUCAUUUUAGGCCUCGGACACCAUCCCUACAUGACAGUGAGAAUGAUGAACUUUCAUAUAGGAAAUUGCACAGGAGUGUUAAUCGAGCAGGCACAGCACAACCUGGGACCCAGACAUGCAGUACCUCUGUUCAAAGUAAAGAUAGCAGUGGUGCAACACACUUUGCAUUUACAGCCGAACAAUACCAGCAUCAUCAACAACAACUGGCACUAAUGCAGAAGCAGCAGCUUGCACAAAUUCAUCAACAGCAAGCAAAUAGUAAUUCUUCUGCGAACGCUUCACAGGGUUUUAAUUCCAAGACAUUGGAUUCUGUCAGUGCUCAGUUUGCUGCUUCAGCCUUGGUUACAUCAGAACAGCUCAUGGGUUUCAAAAUGAAGGAUGAUGUGGUGCUUGGAAUUGGAGUGAAUGGCAUCCUUCAAGCCUCAGGAGUAUAUAAGGGCUUACACUUCAGUAAUACUACGCCUACAGCACUUGUACAUACAAGCUCAUCAACAGCAGGUUCAGCCUUGUUACAGCCUUCAAAUAUAACACAAACUUCAAGUUCCCACAGUGCACUGAGUCACCAAGUAACUGCUGCCAAUUCUGCAACAACUCAGGUUCUGUUUGGGAACAACAUUAGAUUAACUGUACCCUCAUCUGUUGGCACUGCAAACUCUAUUAAUACGCUCAAUGCACGGCACAUACCUAGGACUCUAAGUGCUGUUCCAUCAUCUGCCUUAAAGCUGGCUGCAGCAAACUGUCAGGUGCCCAAGGUGCCAGCCUCAUCCUCUGCGGACACAAUACCAAGAUUUGGGUA